rnacentral:rRNA from 1 species
UGGGGAAUUUUGGACAAUGGGCGAAAGCCUGAUCCAGCAAUGCCGCGUGUGUGAAGAAGGCCUUCGGGUUGUAGAGCACUUUUGUCCGGAAAGAAAUCCUCUGGGUUAAUACCUCGGGGGGAUGACGGUACCGGAAGAAUAAGCACCGGCUAACUACGUGCCAGCAGCCGCGGUAAUACGUAGGGUGCAAGCGUUAAUCGGAAUUACUGGGCGUAAAGCGUGCGCAGGCGGUUUUGUAAGACGGAUGUGAAAUCCCCGGGCUUAACCUGGGAACAGCAGUCGUGACUGCAAGGCUCGAGUAUGGCAGAGNGGGGUAGAAUUCCACGUGUAGCAGUGAAAUGCGUAGAGAUGUGGAGGAAUACCGAUGGCGAAGGCAGCCCCCUGGGCCAAUACUGACGCUCAUGCACGAAAGCGUGGGGAGCAAACA